rnacentral:rRNA from 1 species
GAUGAACGCUGGCGGCGUGCCUAAUACAUGCAAGUCGAGCGAACGGACGAGAAGCUUGCUUCUCUGAUGUUAGCGGCGGACGGGUGAGUAACACGUGGAUAACCUACCUAUAAGACUGGGAUAACUUCGGGAAACCGGAGCUAAUACCGGAUGAUAUUUUGAACCGCAUGGUUCAAAAGUGAAGGACGGUCUUGCUGUCACUUAUAGAUGGAUCCGCGCUGCAUUAGCUAGUUGGUAAGGUAACGGCUUACCAAGGCAACGAUGCAUAGCCGACCUGAGAGGGUGAUCGGCCACACUGGAACUUAGACACGGUCCAGACUCCUACGGGAGGCAGCAGUAGGGAAUCUUACGCAAUGGGCGAAAGCCUGACGGAGCAACGCCGCGUGAGUGAUGAAGGUCUUCGGAUCGUAAAAAUCUGUUAUUAGGGAAGAACAUAUGUGUAAGUAACUGUGCACAUCUUGACGGUACCUAAUCAGAAAGCCACGGCUAACUACGUG